GUGUCGCAGUUCCCUCCCAUUGGGUGUGGUCCAUUUUUUACUUUACAAAACCAAGUCAGACGGACGUGACUUCGCAUUUUCAUCCACUCUCAGCAAGAACUUGACUGACGUGUGCUGCUCGUCGACCAGCUAAAAAAAAAACAACAACAACAAAAGCAAAAUGCUGAAUGUUGAGAUUGAGUACUGCGGCAGGUGAGGGUACGGCUCUAAGUUUACAGACCUGGAAACUGAGCUGAAGAAGGAGUUUGGGGACGCCAUUCAAAUCAAGGGAUAUGUUGGCAGGAAAUCGAGUUUUGAGGUGACGGUGAAUGGAGAAUCGAUCUACUCCAAGUUGGCCACAGGAAACUUCCCGGACAAGAAUAAGAUCAUUGCGAAGAUCAAGAAGCGCUAAGUCAAAAUGAGAUGAUGGCAGAAGGGACAACGAACAUGUCACAUUCCCUGUGAAUCAGAAGAUGGAGCAGUGUUUCUAUUUAAACUCCUUGUAUCUCGACUAUACAGUUGAUCCCCGUCAGUGAACAUGCCAAAGAAAAGAUCACUAACUCCCCAUUGUUUCUUAAUUCAAAAAAUGUUGGUUAACAUUAAAUAUAACAUGUAUUUUUUUCAUGUUUACAUCUCCUCUGACAUUAAGGGGGGGGGGGAAUCAUGAAUUUCGCCAGCCAUUCAAGGUGCUGGGUUUGUUCCUCAAAUUAUUGCUAUCUUGGUUCAAGAGCUGGAAGUAAACAAGUCACUUCCAAGACACUUCUUGCCGGCUCCGCCAAGUAGCCCGCGGCUGCUCCUUUUUGGCUCAUUUUGAAAGCUAGCUGUGACCGCAAUGAUUAUUUUGCUCUUCAUCAUUUGUCCAUUUUUUUUUUUACCUGGCGUGUAUGCGACGUAUUAAUCACGUUCUCAAAGCCGUUUGGCUCAGAUGUUGCUGUACAGGUUUGUAAACUGUUUUGACGUUAUAUGAAAUCGCAACCUGAGAAUAGCUCAACUCGCGUUCAUAUGACUGCAGUGGAGCUUGUAUCCUUGUUUAGCAAAUAUUUUCUACGUCUGUCAACAACGGAGCUUUUUCAGUGUGAGUUAAAAAAAAAGACGACAUGAACACAAAUGACUUUGUGUUUGGAUGGUCAAGGGCGCGCAGGUCUGCCAGCGCAAAGGAUUCACGACAAGACUAAGAAUAAAUUCGCUUUCGGACUCACAUAUCUUCUAUAUGGCAGCAAGGAACGACCCCGGCGUGAACGUGGUUGUGUCUUAUCUUACUUUGUGGAUCCGAUCAAUGACGUCAUUGAUGGAUCACGCAAAUCAUGACAUUACAGUCGAUCACCGAUUCGCCAUCAAAUGCAAAAUAUCGACCGAUUUCGAGAUACAGUACUGUACUUCAUCAGACUGGUGUAAAGUCUCCUCUUGAUGCCACAAGAGGGCAGCACGUCACUACAUGCCUCUGUAAAAUGACAAUUCGUUUGCAAGUUAAUUUGCUCGUAAAUUGAGCCAAGGUCUGUAUUUCAAUAUACGCUAUAGCGCUACCUUGACUUAACAAAUUUAAUUUGCUCUCCAGGCGAGUAACUCAACCCACUCCAAAUCAAUUUUCCCAGUUGAAAUUAAAUGAAACAACAAGAUUUCCAUUCCAGUUUUUGAGAAUGAAAAAGUAUAGUGAUAAUUGCUGAGUUGGAUAUUUGCAUUUAAUAAUACUGUAAUUGACCAAGCAAUGGCUUGUGUCG